GAGCUUUGGACCAUUGGGACAUCCUGUGGAACAUCACGUGGAUCCAUUAUACUGACAGCAUCAAGCUGAUUGGACAGGAAGAGUGAGAAGUGGCGUACUGGAAAUCUUGGUUUUCCCUCAGGAAGAGAGGCCCAUGGAAACCAUUGAGGAGCAGCUCCCCAACAUAGAGGGAGAAGAGGCACAAGGUGUGACCACGAUAGCUAUGAAGUGCUUGGGUCAGGUCUCCCUUCAGAAAGAACUUGCCAUAAGAGCUCAGUGGAGCCUCACGGUAUUCGCUUCAGAGAUUUGGUUAUCUGCUUCCUCAGGCAAUUCACCUGAUUAGAGGAUUUACACACUAAAAGAGGUUUUUAAAAAAGAAAUAACCUUGGGAAUGAGAAUUAACACAAGUAUAAUCCAUCACUGUCUGAUCUGAGAAUUGAACUCACCUACAUCCAUGUAGCUUAAUUAUUAGGACUGAGGACUGAGCCCACCUGUGUCAACAUGACUUGAGUGUUCCAGGAAAAUUCUCACUCAGGAAGAUAAGAAUAUAACCGGUAAAUAAUUUCAUUCUUGGCUUCAGAAAAUUUGUGCAAACCAAUUUGUGCAAAUAGUUUUCUCAACUAGGCAAACAGCUCUCCUAUCGGGACAAUAGGUGACUCACCCGGCCAACGGCUCACUUAUCAAACAAUGUUUUACUUACUGCGGCUGCUUCUAGACACUUGCCUCACCGUGUCCACCAAUUCUAUGCCACAAACUCCCUCCAGCCUCGAUCAGUUUCCCAUCUUGAAAUAUCCACCUUAAACCAAGUGUGACCAGAUCCAAACCUGAGAGAGAUCCCGCUCUGAGCUCCCCCUCUAGGCACACAACUGAGACUGUCGAAGUGAUUCUCUCCCUUGGGGCAGUAGGUCUGAUAAACUUAGCUUUGCCUGAUUGUCAUGUUCUCUGUGUUUUGGGGGGAGGUUGAUGUCGAUGGCCAUAGCACCUCUCUACUCCUCCCCUACUGCCAUCCUGUAUCAUACACACGCCGCCAUCAGCUCCAUCAAACUUCACUGAUUCCUAUUGGAUUAGUAUAAAAAUACUUGCGCACACAUUAAAAUUAAGAAUAAAGAAUUCUCCUAUGUGCAAUUUCUCUCAUUCUUCUGAAUUAGGCUUAUUUGAACACACAGACGUUUAAAAGUACAGACCUUGGUAAUUCUAGACUUACAUGAAUGCAUUUGGAUAUGAAAACAUGUGGGCAAUAAUGAGGUCUGGACUUUGUGACCUUGGGCAAAUUAUCUAACAUUUCUAAGUGUCAAGUACCUCAUCUAUAAAAUAAUGAUAAUAAAAAAAUAAUGAAAAUCGCUAAUACGUAUUUAGCACUUACUGCAUCUGAUGUGAAAACUGAAACCAACACACUUUCCUGUUUUUGUAUUAAGCAAUACUGGGACCAGGCAAAAAUAACAGCUCGGUGGGCCAAGAAAUAAUUGUUCCCAGAAGAUAAACCAACUAAAACAACUUAUUUAACAAGACUAACUGCUUAUACAUCAAUACUUGUAUCAAGCCCCUUGCCUCACUGUGCCCACAAAUCCAUAACUCACAUCAUGAACGGCGCAGUCCCAGUCUUGUCACCUGCUUUUCAAGACUCCUUGUAAAAUCAUCAGCUCAAAUUCUAACACCAUAUAUAUGAUAUGAUACACACUCAUACACACACACACACACAUAUAUAUACACAUAUCUAUACAUAUUAUAUAUAUCCAGUCAUAUGCCACAUGAUGUCAUGUUCAGUCAACAACGGAAAGAAUAUUCGACAGUGGUCCCAUAAGGUUAGUACCAUAUAGCCUUGAUGUGUAGUAUGCUGUACCUUCUGGGUUUGUGUAAGUACUCUCUAUGAUGUUCGUACAACGAUGAAAUCACCUAAGGAUAUAUUUCUCA